GAUGAACGCUGGCGGCGUGCCUAAUACAUGCAAGUCGAGCGAACAGACGAGGCGCUUGCUCCUCUGACGUUAGCGGCGGACGGGUGAGUAACACGUGGAUAACCUACUUAUAAGACUGGGAUAACUUCGGGAAACCGGCGCUAAUACCGGAUAAUAUAUUGAACCGCAUGGUUCAAUAGUGAAAGACGGUUUUGCUGGCGCUUGUAGCUGGAUCCGCGCCGCAUUAGCUAGUUGGUGAGGUAGCGGCUUACCAAGGCAAUGACGCGUAGCCGGCCUGAGAGGGUGACCGGCCACAGUGGGACUGAGAGAGGGCCCAGACUCCUACGGGAGGGAGUAGUGGGGAAUAUUGCACAAUGGGCGGAAGCCUGAGGCAGCAACGCCGCGUGCGGGAUGACGGCCUUCGGGUUGUAAACCGCUUUAGCAGGUGACGAAGCGUGAGUGACGGUAAUGGGUAAAGAAGCACCGGCUAACUACGUG
rnacentral:rRNA from 1 species